UGGGGAAUAUUGGACAAUGGGCGAAAGCCUGAUCCAGCAAUGCCGCGUGCGGGAAGAAGGCCUUCGGGUUGUAAACCGCUUUUGUCAGGGAAGAAACGCUCUGGGCUAAUACCCUGGGGUAAUGACGGUACCUGAAGAAUAAGCACCGGCUAACUACGUGCCAGCAGCCGCGGUAAUACGUAGGGUGCAAGCGUUAAUCGGAAUUACUGGGCGUAAAGCGUGCGCAGGCGGUUAUGCAAGACAGAUGUGAAAUCCCCGGGCUCAACCUGGGAACUGCAUUUGUGACUGUAUAGCUAGAGUACGGUAGAGGUGGAUGGAAUUCCGCGUGUAGCAGUGAAAUGCGUAGAUAUGCGGAGGAACACCGAUGGCGAAGGCAAUCCCCUGGACCUGUACUGACGCUCAUGCACGAAAGCGUGGGGAGCAAACAGGAUUAGAUACCCCCGUAGUCCCUGAGCGGGCUGGCAAGGCGCAU
rnacentral:rRNA from 1 species